GAUCCUGAUCUGUAUUUGUGUUCUCCAAUUCAGAAGAAUAUCUCAGAACAGGAAUAUGAAUCCUUCAGAGAACCCCACAGACAAUCAAAAUUUGGACGACUCACUAGUGUUGAACAAAGACGUCAGACUACGAACAGCGAGUCCCA